GGUCCGGUGGUGUAAAGGCUAGCAUUCUAGACUUUGAAUCUGGCGAUCCGGGUUCGAAUCCCGGCCGGACCU